CGUAAAAUUCCUCGGAGGAAACUUUUCAGCGAACUCUUUCCUCAUUUCCCGCGCAGUUGAAUUAUUCACAAGCUUCUUCUCUCGCUUUUGUUUCUGGGCCAGGGUCGUCACGACGAUCUACUCCCGGUCGCUCUCAACCCCCUCCGCCUCCGGGUCGACGAACUUUCUCUUAAGUAAGACAUUUUCCUAACUACUUUGCGCUAUUCACCAGGAUUCCGCGCGCCGCGACGUUAUUUAAGCGAACUCGUUCACCGAGCGACUCUUAGCACGUGGUAACGUUUACUUCCUUCCUUCCUCUCCUGCCCCUCGCCCGUUUCCCUCGCCGCCGAUCCCCCUCGAACACCCUUUUACUUUUACUUCUCGAACUUUCGCCCCCUUUCGCGAAUUUAUUACGCGGAGACGGAAUUUCGCGCGAUCCUUUUUUUUUUCUUUCUCGCUCCUCGAGAGGCUUGCCAAGUUCCUGGAAGUCGUUCACCUUCGCGCGAUUGUUUACGGUGUACAUUCAGUUUCGCACGAGUCAUUGACGAGGUUAGUGCUGGGAAAACGCUGCUGGCUGCUAAGAAGCCUGAGAGCCCGCAGCACCCUCCUGACACACAUAAGCGGAAGCGGCCGCGCCUAAGUGAUUCCGCUGAGCGGAUGCAGCCUCGCAAGACGGAAUUUUCCGAAUAGCGGCGCAUGCAUCGUAGACGAUUCCCCGUGAUCGGCUUAAUAUCGGCGAAUUUCGCCGUUCCGAUGUGUGCCAGCCUCGGAAAGCGACGCUCGCUACGAGCUUUAAAGCAGUUACCAAUUCCGUUGAUCCUCCGCGUCCCUCAACAUUCUGGAUCAUCCCCCUGUCGAAGCACCGCUCCUUCCUCCAGCAACCGGUCCAUGGAACAACGAGGACGAGAGAACCGGAAGCACGUAAACGAAGAAAAUUCUUGCGAAGCGUGGAACGAAGAGGAAGACUUCAACGAGGAGGAAGCGUGAUCAACGAGUUGGUACCCGUGGCAGUUUCCAGUGUCCCGGUUUCCUGGAGUACAAAGAAAACCUUUCAGUUUAUU